rnacentral:rRNA from 1 species
UACGUAGGUGGCAAGCGUUGUCCGGAAUCAUUGGGCGUAAAGAGCGCGUAGGUGGCUUGUCAGGUCUGAUGUGAAAACCUGGGGCUCAACUCCAGGCCUGCAUCAGAAACUGGCUUGCUAGAGUCUGGGAGAGGAGAGUGGAAUUCCUGGUGUAGCGGUGAAAUGCGUAGAUAUCAGGAGGAACACCGGUAGCGAAGGCGGCUCUCUGGAACAGUACUGACGCUGAGGCGCGAAAGCUAGGGGAGCGAACA